rnacentral:rRNA from 1 species
ACGAACGCUGGCGGCGUGCUUAACACAUGCAAGUCGAACGGAAAGGCCCUGCUUGCAGGGUACUCGAGUGGCGAACGGGUGAGUAACACGUGGGUGAUCUGCCCUGCACUUCGGGAUAAGCUUGGGAAACUGGGUCUAAUACCGGAUAGGAGCCAUCUUUAGCGUGGUGGUUGGAAAGUUUUUUCGGUGUAGGAUGAGCUCGCGGCCUAUCAGCUUGUUGGUGGGGUAAUGGCCUACCAAGGCGGCGACGGGUAGCCGGCCUGAGAGGGUGUACGGCCACAUUGGGACUGAGAUACGGCCCAGACUCCUACGGGAGGCAGCAGUGGGGAAUAUUGCACAAUGGGCGCAAGCCUGAUGCAGCGACGCCGCGUGGGGGAUGAAGGCCUUCGGGUUGUAAACUCCUUUCGCUAGGGACGAAGCUUUUUUGUGACGGUACCUAGAUAAGAAGCACCGGCUAACUACGUG